UGGGGAAUAUUGCACAAUGGGCGCAAGCCUGAUGCAGCCAUGCCGCGUGUGUGAAGAAGGCCUUCGGGUUGUAAAGCACUUUCAGCGAGGAGGAAGGUGGUGGACUUAAUACGUUCAUCAAUUGACGUUACUCGCAGAAGAAGCACCGGCUAACUCCGUGCCAGCAGCCGCGGUAAUACGGAGGGUGCAAGCGUUAAUCGGAAUUACUGGGCGUAAAGCGCACGCAGGCGGUUUGUUAAGUCAGAUGUGAAAUCCCCGGGCUCAACCUGGGAACUGCAUUUGAAACUGGCAAGCUAGAGUCUCGUAGAGGGGGGUAGAAUUCCAGGUGUAGCGGUGAAAUGCGUAGAGAUCUGGAGGAAUACCGGUGGCGAAGGCGGCCCCCUGGACGAAGACUGACGCUCAGGUGCGAAAGGCGUGGGGCAGCAAACAGGAUUAGAUACCCUGGUAGUCACGCUGUAAACGAUGUCGAUUUGGAGGUUGUGCCCUUGAGGCGUGGCUUCCGGAGCUAACGCGUUAAAUCGACCGCCUGGGGAGUACGGCC
rnacentral:rRNA from 1 species